rnacentral:rRNA from 1 species
GAUUCGCUUAGAAGGUAUGCGUCGCCCUUGGGUUGCCUUGUUACGACUUUCGGUUUUUUUGUUUUGACUGGCGAGUGGCGAACGGGUGAUAAAUACAUCGGAACGUGCCCUGUAGUGGGGGAUAACUAGUCGAAAGAUUAGCUAAUACCGCAUACGACCUGAGGGUGAAAGUGGGGGACCGCAAGGCCUCAUGCUAUAGGAGCGGCCGAUGUCUGAUUAGCUAGUUGGUGAGGUAAAGGCUCACCAAGGCGACGAUCAGUAGCUGGUCUGAGAGGACGAUCAGCCACACUGGGACUGAGACACGGCCCAGACUCCUACGGGAGGCAGCAGUGGGGAAUUUUGGACAAUGGGCGAAAGCCUGAUCCAGCAAUGCCGCGUGUGUGAAGAAGGCCUUCGGGUUGUAAAGCACUUUUGUCCGGAAAGAAAUGGCUCUGGUUAAUACCUGGGGUCGAUGACGGUACCGGAAGAAUAAGGACCGGCUAACUACGUGCCAGCAGCCGCGGUAAUACGUAGGGUCCAAGCGUUAAUCGGAAUUACUGGGCGUAAAGCGUGCGCAGGCGGUUGUGCAAGACCGAUGUGAAAUCCCCGAGCUUAACUUGGGAAUUGCAUUGGUGACUGCACGGCUAGAGUGUGUCAGAGGGGGGUAGAAUUCCACGUGUAGCAGUGAAAUGCGUAAAGAUGUG